UACGAAGGGGGGCUAGCGUUGCUCGGAAUCACUGGGCGUAAAGCGCACGUAGGCGGAUCGUUAAGUCGGGGGUGAAAUCCUGGAGCUCAACUCCAGAACUGCCUUCGAUACUGGCGAUCUAGAGUCCGGAAGAGGUGAGUGGAACUCCUAGUGUAGAGGUGGAAUUCGUAGAUAUUAGGAAGAACACCAGUGGCGGAAGGCGGCUACACUGGUCCGGUACG
rnacentral:rRNA from 1 species